rnacentral:rRNA from 1 species
CCCCUAGAUGUUCUGGGCCGCACGCGCGCUACACUGAACAGUUCAACAAGUCUUAACCUUGGCCGAUAGGUCUGGGUAAUCUUUGAACGCUGUUCGUGAUUGGGAUAGACCUUUGCAAUUAUGGGUCUUCAACGAGGAAUUCCUAGUAAACGCAAGUCAUCAGCUUGCAUUGAUUACGUCCCUGCCCUUUGUACACACCGCCCGUCGCUACUACCGAUUGGAUCAUUUGGUGAGGCCCACGGACUGUCGCGCUUCCUUCCUUGUGUUGGUUGCGCUUCUUGGGAAGUGGUACAAACCUGAUGAUCUAGAGGAAGUAAAAGUCGUAACA